AACGAACGCUGGCGGCAUGCCUAACACAUGCAAGUCGAACGAGACCUUCGGGUCUAGUGGCGCACGGGUGCGUAACGCGUGGGAACCUGCCCUUAGGUUCGGAAUAACACCCCGAAAGGGGUGCUAAUACCGGAUAACGUCUUCGGACCAAAGAUUUAUCGCCUUUGGAUGGGCCCGCGUUGGAUUAGCUAGUUGGUAGGGUAAAAGCCUACCAAGGCGACGAUCCAUAGCUGGUCUGAGAGGAUGAGCAGCCACACUGGGACUGAGACGCGGCCCAGACUACUACGGGAGGCAGCAGUGGGGAAUAUUGGAAAAUGGGCGAAAUCCUGAUCCAGCACUGCCGCGUGAGUGAUGAAGGCCUUAGAGUUGUAAAGCUCUUUUACCCGGGAUGAUAAUGACAGUACCGGGAGAAUAAGCUCCGGCUAACUCCGUG
rnacentral:rRNA from 1 species